ensembl:rRNA 5S_rRNA 5S ribosomal RNA
GCUUACGGCCAUUCCACCUUAGGCACGCCCGAUCUCGUCUGAUCUCGGAAGCUAAGCAGGGUCGGGCCUGGUUAGUCCUUGGAUGGGUGACCGCCUGGGAAUACCAGGUGCUGUAAGCA